AACAACAGAAACUCUUUAUUAUGAUCUCUGUAGUAACUAAACAAGAAGAAUACACACCUCUUGAUAAGAAUGAAGGAAAGUUUUCCUUGUUCAGAAACAUCCAAGUGGUGAGUCACAAAGGGUAAAAGUCCGUAAAAUUUUAUAAUGUGGAUAAUUAAAUCAUUUAAGGAAUGUCAUGAAUGGAACAAUGUGUUCAUGAGACUAAUGAACUCAUAUUCUGAGUUGUAUCAAGAUUAGAUAAAAUAUAAUUACAGAACUAGACAGUAUCACAGUCACAUUAUCUUUUACUAUAACAACAUAUCCUUGGAAAAAUGAAUAAAUAUUAAUUCAUUAAUUCCUAGAAAUAACAAGAUAACAGGUUUAUACUACUUUUAGAUAAUCCAUUUUGAGGUGACCAUUGCACAAUAUUUCUAUCUGCAUUCUGUACUAUAGUUUUGCUUUCAUUUCUGUAUUUUCCACUUUUGUCUGUAUCUGUUAGAGGCUCUGGGUUGCAAAAUAUUAAAAUGUAGAAUUCUAAAAUACAAGACACACUUGUCCUAUUUUCAUUGCCAGUUUAAUCCAGUUUAAUGAAACCUCUUUAUGUACCCAUAGUCGAAUUUUCCCUUAGGGUUGCAAGAUGCUGCCCACAUCUCAUGCCCAUCCCAUAAAUAAAACUGCUAAAGUAUACCCAAAUAAAAGCAGCUCUUUCCUGCUUAAGCCAACAUAAUAUAGCCAGAGCUUCAUGGUAUAUAAAAUCCACAAAGCUUUGUCAGUUAUUAGAAAAUGAGAUUGGUAAACUAUGCUGUGUUUGGAAAUUGGUCAGUUUCAGUCCUUCUCCAUGCCUAACAUUCUCUUAUGAAGUAAGAUAACGCCAGUUAGCUUCAAUUAUCCAUUCCUAUGGGGCCUAUCUGCCUCCUUCCUCUUUGGGUCUAUUUUUACUCUAGUCUUUUUGCAUGAUUAUACCUUUUUUAAAAAUUUAAAGGAUACUAAGUGGGGAUUAGGAGAAGGGGGAACACAGACAGAAGGAAUCCUAUGUCUGACUCAUCCCAUUCAUGUUGCAAUGGCCUCUUUAGGUAUAUUUUCUACUGGUUGGGGUCAUGAGGUGGGGGGAGGCAUAGCAAGCAAAGCAAAAUGGGGAAACAAUUUACUGAUCAUGACUGGCACAUUUAUUAAUUAGGACACUAUUAUUCAACAGCAAGAAAUCAUAGAAGACACAGCAGGAGCAGAAUAGAGAAUGGAGACUGGAAAGGUUGUGUUGACAAUAUUUUCUGCUGAUUCAUGGAUGGAUGGAGAGACAAUAUUUUAAGAGGAAAAGAUGAAAUCUAAGCUGCCAAUAAGAUCAAACAAGAUGCUAGAGAAAAAGAGGCACAAAAACGGGAAAAACACAUGAUAACAAUUUGAUAAGGAAACCGUACUGUAAGUCAACAAACUACAGCAAUUCUCUAUUGCUGACAGAGUACUUUAAAGUGGACAGCUCCUAAUAGUGAAUGAAGAGCACUUGUUCUCAAUUUUUGCAGUAAACAAGAAAAUCAGAUUACAUUGUGUGUAAACACUGGAAGAUAAACAAUAGAAUAUAGUUUUAUCUGGAUUCACUGUAAAAUUAUUUCUGUGAAACCCACUGUAUGAUCCUGGCCUUCUGGAAAUCAAAGAGCUUCUACCUUAGCAUAAUUGAACAUGGGCAAAAUUGCCUCUGUUCCUGACAUAUGUCUCACAACCAACCCUGGAUCCUUCAUUGUCAACUUAAAUUGUGAAGAAAGCUGUUAACUGCAUAAACUGAUAGCAGCAGAUGCUUAGUUCAGCCCCAAUUCACCAGGUGGCAUUUAUUAACUUCACUUUUUCCUUCUUUAGGCCAGUUAGAAACAAUUUUUGUUUUACAAUAUUGAUGUAACUGUAGAGAAAUCAACAGUAGGAAGCACUUAAUAAAUAAGUACACUUAAUAAAACAAUAUUUACUUUAAAACACAAACAAUGUUGCAACAGUGUCCCCGAAAACUGCUGUAAAGAGACCAAAGAUCUUUUAAUUAGUCUCAAAGAUAUAUAUAUAUAUCCCUUUCUUCACGAUGCACUUUUGGUCGCACUUUGCCACAAGUCACCUGAACUCACCUGCCUAAACCAGGCAGGCACCGCCCCCACCGUUCUAUGUUCCUGCGGCUGGCGGGACCUCACCAGGCACAGUGGAAAAUCCAGUUUUCUCGAACUGGAAGGUUCAGUUUAAGAUUCUUUACAUUCUUGGACUAAGGACAAGCUAAGGCCAGAGUCCUUCAGACGAGGGGAAAAUAGGUCGGCUGGGAAGUUCUGGAACCGAUGCAAGUCGCAACUGGCCCCAUUCUUGCAAUGCUAACUUUCCAUGCGGCUUCUCUUUCAUACUUGAAGCCGGGACCUCUAACUGACCCGCGCCUGACCCGUUGCGCGGUCUACGCAGGACACCCAUUCAAGUUCCCAAUGCUUUUAAUAAAACUUUCACAGCAGGAGGCGAGAGAUGUAUCAGCAGGCCACUUCCUUCACCUCUGCGGCACUUCGUCGGACUCGGAGGAGAAAAGCUUCCCUUUUGCGGACGUAGCUGUCGAGGUCUCGAAAGGAGCCCCGACCACGCCCCCUUCCUUUGCUCUCCCUCCUCGCCGCACUUUCUGCCCGCAGUCCAGUCUCCACCCAAGAUGAGUAAGACCGCCCUUUCCUCUGGCCGUGCCGCCUCUUUUGGCCCCGCCUCUUGUGUUGGCAGGUUGGCCAAUCCGGCCCUAGCCGGUAACGGGGCGCUGUACCGCGCGUGGGUUCUCCUCCCUCGCCCUCUUUUGCUUCUUGGCGCUCGCGGAGUCCGGCCGCUUUCCUCCCGCGUCUGCUUUGCUGCUCGCUGGACAGCGGUACAGUUGAAUAGAACCCAAGGAAAACAAUAGCUGCAUAUAUUCUUGCUUAGUUCCCAUUU